AGGGUUGUGGCUCAGUGGUAGAGCACUUGCCUAGCAUGCAUGAGGCACUGGGUUUAAUCACCAGCACCACAU
rnacentral:tRNA from 1 species